GAAAUGCUAUAAGUUUUAUUUCACUCCUUGCAAACAUCACAUCCAGAACCGCUAUCAAGGACAGUUUCUUUUCCUCAAUCUGUAAACUUCUCAUAGUUGAGUUUUAUUUCAUCAUGCAACGACAACGAAGAGAGAAAAGCCCUGGCUUAAAGAUCCUCUGGAUUUGGACAUUUGGAACCGCCGCUAUACUUAUUGCGAAUGUGAUGAGAACCGGAAUACGGGACUUUCAAACUGCUAUGAAAGCUGAAGAACAAGAAGAACAGCAACAGCAACGGAAUGAUUCGGGAAUGGUUAUUGAUUCUCGUGGUUCUGAGGAGAGGAUAAUUGAAGACUAAUUUUGAUGUUUACUGUUUUUUUGUUUUGGGGUUGUGUUUGAAUUUGUUGAGGAUAAAUGUGCACGCAAAGUGUUUGAUGAAUGUCCUAGGUGAAAACUAUACUUGGGUCUUGGAAGUAGGAAGUUGAAGAUUA